rnacentral:tRNA from 1 species
CGGGCCCAUACCCCGAAAAUGUUGGUAUAAACCCCCUCCUAUACUA